rnacentral:rRNA from 1 species
ACGCGGUAGAGGAGCGUCGUGUAAGCCGAUGAAGGUGUGUUGAGAAGCAUGCUGGAGGUAUCACGAGUGCGAAUGCUGACAUGAGUAACGACAAGGGGAGUGAAAAACUCCCCCGCCGGAAGACCAAGGGUUUCUGUUCGACGCUAAUCGGAGCAGAGUGAGUCGGCCCCUAAGGCGAGGCCGAAAGGCGUAGUCGAUGGGAAACGGGUCAAUAUUCCCGUACCUCACAGUAUUGCGAUGGGGGGACGAAGAAGGCUAGGUGAGCCAGGCGUUGGUUGUCCUGGUGAAAGCCGGUAGGCUGAGGAUUCAGGUAAAUCCGGAUCCUCAAGGCCGAGAGGCGAGACGAACUGACUACGGUCAGGAAGUCAUCGAUGCCACGCUUCCAGGAAAAGCCUCUAAGCUUCAGAUACUGUGAGACCGUACCCCAAACCGACACAGGUGGUCAGGUAGAGAAUACCAAGGCGCUUGAGAGAACUCGGGUGAAGGAACUAGGCAAAAUGGUGCCGUAACUUCGGGAGAAGGCACGCCGCAUUAGGGUGAAGGUCCUCGCGACCGGAGCCUGACGCGGUCGAAGAUACCAGGUGGCUGCAACUGUUUAUUAAAAACACAGCACUCUGCAAACGCGCAAGCGGACGUAUAGGGUGUGACGCCUGCCCGGUGCCGGAAGGUUAAGUGAUGGUGUUAGCUCACGCGAAGCUCCUGAUCGAAGCCCCGGUAAACGGCGGCCGUAACUAUAACGGUCCUAAGGUAGCGAAAUUCCUUGUCGGGUAAGUUCCGACCUGCACGAAUGGCGUAAUGAUGGCCACGCUGUCUCCACCCGAGACUCAGUGAAAUUGAAAUCGCAGUGAAGAUGCUGUGUACCCGCGGCUAGACGGAAAGACCCCGUGAACCUUUACUACAGCUUCACACUGGACGCUGAUGUUGCUUGUGUAGGAUAGCUGGGAGGCUUUGAAACCCUGUCGCCAGAUGGGGUGGAGCCAACCUUGAAAUACCAGCCUGGCAUCAUUGGCGUUCUAACUCAGGACCGUAAUCCGGUUCGAGGACCGUGUGUGGUGGGUAGUUUGACUGGGGCGGUCUCCUCCCAAAGAGUAACGGAGGAGCACGAAGGUACCCUCAGCACGGUUGGAAAUCGUGCAGUGAGUGCAAGAGCAUAAGGGUGCUUAACUGCGAGACAGACACGUCGAGCAGAUACGAAAGUAGGUUCUAGUGAUCCGGUGGUUCUGUAUGGAAGGGCCAUCGCUCAACGGAUAAAAGGUACUCCGGGGAUAACAGGCUGAUACCGCCCAAGAGUUCACAUCGACGGCGGUGUUUGGCACCUCGAUGUCGGCUCAUCACAUCCUGGGGCUGAAGUCGGUCCCAAGGGUAUGGCUGUUCGCCAUUUAAAGUGGUACGCGAGCUGGGUUUAGAACGUCGUGAGACAGUUCGGUCCCUAUCUGCCGUGGGCGUUGGAGAUUUGAGAAGCGCUGCUCCUAGUACGAGAGGACCGGAGUGGACGUACCUCUGGUGUUCCGGUUGUCACGCCAGUGGCAUUGCCGGGUAGCUAUGUACGGACGGGAUAACCGCUGAAAGCAUCUAAGCGGGAAGCCCCCUUCAAGAUGAGAUCUCCCUGAGGCCUUGAGCCUCCUAAAGGACCCAGCAAGACCAGCUGGUUGAUAGGCCGGGUGUGGAAGCGCUGCAAGGCGUUGAGCUAACCGGUACUAAUGGUCCGUGAGGCUUGACCAU